AAGUGUCAAGCCAAAAUGAACAACGAGGUGAAAUUGGAGGCUUCAUGCAGAUUCCUAACUCUAACCAAUAUCAACAACACUGUCCAAUCACUUAACUACUUCUGUCAAAACUACUGAUGAUCCAAGCACUUCUUAUACAGCAGGUAUUUGCUUCCCAAUCUCCUUGAAACCUAUCUUUUCUUCAUCUCAAUGUUGGACAGUUGAUUCCGGUACUACGAUGCAUAUAUGUUCAACUGCCGAUGCCUUUGUUUCUAUGAAACCUAUUCAGAAUUCCAAAGUUACUUUACCUAAUCAUACUCAAAUUCCAGUAAACUACUAUGGUGACAUUAGAUUGAAUUCUAUGCUUACUCUAAAAGAUGUUCUGUACAUUCCCCAGUUCAAGUUUAACUUGAUAUCUGUGAGUGCACUUACUUGUGGAUCAAAAUUUAUGGUGAAGUUUCUCUUCGAUUGCUUCACUAUCUAGGAAUACAAUACCAAGAAGAUGGUUGGUAAGGGUGAUAAGUUUGAAGACCUCUAUGUAUUGGAUAAAAGCAAUCUGGAUUAUGUCUUUGCAGCAUAUGAAAAUAAUAUUUCAGCUCAUAUAUGGAAUAACAGACUUGGCUAUUUAUCAUUCCGACAUUUAGAGAUUUUAAAACACCAUUUACAUUGUGAUAUCUAGAUUGAAUGAAGUUGUUCCCUGUUACAUUUGUCCUCUUGCAAAAUAAAGACGAUUAUCAUUUGAUUCCCACAAUCAUAAGUUUCAAUUUCCAUUUGACUUAGUACAUUGUGAUGUUUGGGGACCCUAUCAUGUUUCUUCUCAUGCUGGCCACAAAUAAUUUCUUACAUUGGCA
rnacentral:lncRNA from 1 species